CUAUUCUAACAUCCCUUUAGCUGAUAUUAUAAAUUGGGCUGUACUCAGAUUAGUUUGGGUUUCAGAGGGAAUUGGUUAGGUGGGCAGAAGGGUCAGCUUUGGUUAGGUGGGCAAGAGAAUGACUUUGUUACAACUUUGUUCGCCGUGACAACAAGACAUCAAAUCAAAAUAAUUCAAUGGGUCCUGUUAGAUAACGACGCGUGCGUGAACCUCAUUCUCUCAAUUCUAUAAAAAAAAGGAAUCUUAUUCGAUAAAUUAAAAAAUAUUUAGUUUAUUCAAAUUAACUAUUAUAUAUUUAAUUAAGAAUUAAUCCAACUAUUAAAUUCUAAAUUCAACGGCUGAUUGUAAUAACUUACCGUGGAUUGCAAAAUCGGCUUACGGAAAACAGGAUUCAUUUGUUGUUUCUUGGAAAAAGAUUAAAAAAGACUUUUUGUAUGACGUUUUGUAUCUGCGAGUGUUGAAGAGGUGAUUGUAGGGACGAUUGCCCCUAGCAUUUCCCUGAAGAAAAAACAAAGUGUAAUUUGAAGUGGCGACUCACUUUUUCUCUGCAAAAGCAAUUUGAACUCCACCCGUUGAAAGCAAGCAAGACAAGAACAAGACAAGUCUUACGAUGAGGAAGCGGAGCAAAUCGAGGACCCAGGUAGCCAAGUCUGACGAUGAAGGAUCGGGGGAAGUGGAGGCAAGGGCAGAUAAUCCCAAACUCAAAUCUGGGGAGUUAGAUCUAUCUGAAGCUUCAGAGAAUAUUGAUGCGGAUGACUUCAUUGCAAAAUUUAAGAAGCAACUGCGGUUGCAGCGUUUGGAGGCAAUACCGCGGAAUAAACCCAAACACGAAUCUGCGGAGGGAGAUCUAUCUGAAGAGGGGGUGGAUCGUGGUGUUCAAAUUUGUUCUGGAAUCAUUCCUUCAAAAUCUGAAGCUUCAGUUAAGAUUGGGGAGGAAAAAGUGUAUCAUCAUGGAGAUAAAUCUUGUAGUAGCUCGUCUGAUCCCAGCAUCUUUAGAACUCCUUUUCCUGGAUUAGAAUUCCAGGAGCCUCAGUUGGCUUCUAUUGGCCCUUAUAACAAGUCCAAAAACCUUCCACUUGAAAAUUACAAGUACUCCUUUCUUGACAAAUUUAUGUCUCGGACAAGAAAUCAAGGCAAAGAUUUAUGCUUCUUUGUCCGACAUAUGAUGACACUGGAAUGGCGUGCAAGAAGAUGCUACGCCGAGGAUAUGCCAAUGUCCAGUCCCGAAUUCGUUGAAAUGCUGUUAGUUGACGGAUGUUUCAUUAUAGAGGUCCUGCGCCAUUUUGGUAGGAGUGAAGAAUCUGAUCAUGGGGUUUUCCCCAUUGAACCAUGGAGGAUACCCAUUUUAGUUCAAGACCUGCUUAUGCUAGAGAACCAAAUUCCUUUCUUUGUUUUGGGAGAGUUGUUUGAUUUAUCCGAGAGCGAAGGGACAGCAACAGUUUCUUUACCGACUAUGGCCUUGAAGUUUUUUGAUCUAGCUUUCCCUCGAUCCAUGGAUUUCAGUUACAAGACCAACCAUUUGGAAGCGGACCAUUUGCUUGAGUUGUUUCUCCAGUCUAUCCGCCCAUCAAUCUCAAAGAGAGUCCAACUUGAACAACAAUGUUAUCCUCCGCCUCCAGUUCACUUAAUAAAAAGUGUAAUGGCACUCCGAACAUCAGGUAUAGAGUUGAGGACAAGAAGAGCUGAUAGGUUCACAGAUGUCAAUUUCAAGAACGGAGCGCUUACAAUCCCACCUGUAACCAUCAAUGACCUCUUUAUCACCAUCCUUAACAACUGUGUGGCCUUCGAGCAGCGUUCUAAGAGAAACUCCAAAGAUUUGACUGCUUAUGUCUCUUUCAUGUGUAGUCUCAUUAGACAACCUAAAGAUGUAGAGUUGCUUUGUUCAAACGGAAUUAUCUCAAGAUUUUCCCACAAUGAUAAAAAGGUGGCAGAUUCUUUCCAUUCGCUUUGGUUAAAUGUUUGUGAUGUCGACACUCAAGAUUCGUAUCUUUCCAAGACAUUGAUGGAAACAGAACGCUACUAUACCAGUGAAGUAAAUGGAAGAACACGGUGUUUGUGGCGCCAUUUUCUGAGAUAUUGGAGGAUUAUUUUAUUCUGCAUCACAAACUUUAUGUUUGGUUUCAACCUAUUAAGAUCGGUUAUUAAGUUGAGAACUCAUUUCGUAAAAGUAGUUAAAUUUCUGGGUGAUAAUAUAUGUGUACUGUCACAGGGGCUCAUCUGUUUUUUCUUUGAUCCUGUUUUUCUUAAGUUUCGGUUGAGACCUAAUACUGAGUCGGGCCUUAGCAAGGUUUUUGUUUUCUUUUUCCUCAAUCUGAUCACUCUUAUGAUCCUUGUGAGUUCAAAGCCUACCUCCAACUUUGAUAAGCUAGAUAUAGAGGUUGAAUGUUCACCCAACAAAAGUGAACAAUCAACGAGCGACGGUAGUGGAGAGUCAUGUUCUUAUGAGAUGGCUGCAGUAGACAAAAAGGUAAUCAAAAUUGAUCAUAAGGGCAAGGCAAUCAACAAAAAUGAGGAAAAUUAUUAUUGUGUCCUAUACAUGAAGAAAUACAGUGGAUAUUUUACUGAGCUAACAUGUUGGAUGUUGAGCUGUAAUCUCACUUUGAGAGCCAUAUGAACCAAGCUUGCAUGUUAAUAUCAAGACAAGUGCCAUGAGGAACUGGAAGCCGAGCUCGAUCUUGAUGAAAUCAAUGCAGCUGUAGAAAGAUCAUACAAGAAAUCUGGAGAUGUCUGCAAAUGGAGGCACAAAAAUCCCAAAUCAUUUUCUACGGAGGAAGAUUUUCCUAAAGAGGAGGUGAAUCAUCACGCCAGAAAUGAGGGGGAAAUCAUGCCUUCAACAUCUGAAGCUUCAGUUGUAUUAGGGAGAAACAAGUCAAUCAACAUGGAGAUACUGUUGUAUAUAUUACCAAGGAUAUGUUUUUUAAAAAUUUUAUUAAGUUAAAACAUAGUUUUACAAUCAUUUAUUAUGCAUGAGUAUUGAAAAAUAAUGUUGUAGAAGUAUAGAAAAAAUAUUAAAAUGAAGGAUGGAGCAGCUGUUUGAACAACUGACUGCCCUCUCAACAGCUAAGAGAGAGCAGUUAACUGCCCAAGCAACUGCCUCUGAGUAGUUGACAUUUUGACAAAAUAGAUAUGGGCAGUUAAGUCGACUGCUCUAACUAAAAAAGUGAGGAAUCGAC